CCUACGGGAGGCAGCAGUGAGGAAUAUUGGUCAAUGGACGCAAGUCUGAACCAGCCAUGCCGCGUGCAGGAAGAAGGCUCUAUGAGUUGUAAACUGCUUUUGUACGAGGGUAAACGCAGAUACGAGUAUCUGUAUGAAAGUAUCGUACGAGUAAGGAUCGGCUAACGCCGUGCCAGCCGACGCGGUAAUACGGAGGAUUCAAGCGUUAUCCGGAUUUAUUGGGUUUAACGGGUGCGUAGGCGGUCGGAUAAGUUAGAGGUGAAAUCCCGAGGCUCAACUUCGGAAUUGCCUCUGAUACUGUUCGGCUAGAGAGUAGUUGCGGUAGGCGGAAUGUAUGGUGUAGCGGUGAAAUGCUUAGAGAUCAUACAGAACACCGAUUGCGAAGGCAGCGUACCAAGCUACUUCUGACGUUGAGGCACGAAAGCGUGGGGAGCAAACAGGAUUAGAUACCCCUGUAGUC
rnacentral:rRNA from 1 species